AUGGUCAGAUCAUGUUGAGACACCAGUUCUCGUACAAUCACCAAAGUUAAGCAACAUCAAACUUGAUCAGUACCUACAUGGGUGACCACUUGAGAAUACCAGGUGCUGUAAG